CACCCAUAUCACAUUGAAACACCAGUCCUUAUAUGAUCACUGGAGUUAAGCAAUGUCAAGCCUGGUCAGUACCUAGAUGGGUGACCAAUUGGGAAAUACCAGGUGCUGUAA